CCUGUUCCCAGCAUCAAUAAAAAACCAUCUUCUCCUUUAUCCCACAAAACAAGUGAACUUAUAUAAUAAGCCAGUAUCAUUCGAAUUCGAGCUUGAAUGUUCUGAAUUUAUUUCAGUAAUAUUAAUUUAGACAGUCACUAAUAAAAGCUUCAUAUUGCAAAUUCUCAACUUAAAAAGUCUUUCACAUAUAUAUACAUAUAUAUAUAUAAAGUACAUUUCCUGAGUCAAUGUAGAGUUAAUUAUAGAGUCGUUGUAGAGCUAUUUAUAGAGUCGCUGUAGAGCUAUUUAUAGAGUCGCUGUAGAGCUAUUUAUAGAGUCGCUGUAGAGCUAUUUAUAGAGUCGCUGUAGAGCUAUAUAUAGAGUCGCUGUAGAGCUAUAUAUAGAGUCGCUGUAGAGCUAUAUAUAGAGUCGCUGUAGAACUAUAUAUAGAAUUGCUGUAGAGCUAUAUAUAGAGUCGCUGUAGAGCUAUAUAUAGAGUCGCUGUAGAGCUAUAUAUAGAGUCGCUGUAGAGCUAUAUAUAGAGUCAAUGUAGAGCUUUUUAUAGAGUCGCUGUAGAGCUAUUCAUAGAAUCGCUGUAGAGCUAUUUAUAAAGUCGCUAUAGGGCUAUUUAUAAAAUCGCUAUAGAGCUAUUUAUAAAGUUGCUAUAGAGCUAUUUAUAAAGUCGCUAUAGAGCUAUUUAUAAACUCGCUGUGAAACUAUCAAUAGAGUAGAUGUGGAGCUAUUUAUAGAGUCGAUGUGGAGCUAUUUAUAGAGUCGGUGUAGAGCUAUUUAUAGAAUCGGUCUAGAGCUAUUUAUAGAAUCGGUGUAGAGCUAUUUAUAGAAACGGUGUAGAGCUAUUUAUAGAGUCGGUGUAGAGCUAUUUAUAAAGUCGCUAUAGAGCUAUUUAUAAAGUUGCUAUAGAGCUAUUUAUAAAGUCGCUAUAGAGCUAUUUAUAAAGUCGCUAUAGAGCUAUUUAUAAAGUCGCUAUAGAGCUAUUUAUAAAGUCGCUAUAGAGCUAUUUAUAAACUCGCUGUGAAACUAUCAAUAGAGUCGAUGUGGAGCUAUUUAUAGAGUCGGUGUAGAGCUAUUUAUAUAGUUGCUGUAGAGCUAUUUGCAGGGUUACUGUAGAAUAAUUCACAAUAGCGUUGAUAUGGUCGCAAUAUAAUCAUUGCUAUUUAAAUACAUACAAUACACACAGCAUGAGAAUUAUUCACACACCUGUAAGGCCAAUUUUUCAGUAGAAGUGCCAUCAAAAGAAGGUACACGUUUAAGCUUGCCAUCCAUAGAGGACAUUAUACUUUUCAAUAUGCCGUUUAUAUCAGCAAUUAUAUGUGAAGAAUUAACUUCACCUGCGAGCAUAGCAGCGUAUCUUUCAGUGUCUGUAGAAGAACCCGCUCCUUUUAAAUAUGAAGUGAAUAAAAUACUAUGUAUAGCUUCUAGUGGGUGUUUCACUUCUUUUUUUAAGAAAGAACUUAAUUGUUGAUUCCCACAUUUUGAGUUGAAUAAAUCAUAGACCAUUGCGCUAACCAGUCCACAAACAGUAGCAGAAUCUUUUCCUCCCGACAAAGGUAAAAAAAAUCCACGUGCGCCAGAUUUAACAAGAUAAUCCCAGAGCCAGUUACGACAACAUAUAUAUAUUUCCUUGAUAGAUUGGUUUUCCAUUGAUAUUAGUGUUCCUUGCACUUCGACUUUCUAAAAAAACAACCUAUAUUGUACGCAUUUUCGGAUUAUCUCCUUAAAGACGUUGACUUACAAGGUUUUCAAGUGUAUUAUCAAAUUCAGGUUUCUUCAAAGACACUGUACUAACUGGACUAAAAGUAUCUUUUGUACAUUGUAUGAUUAUUUCGCCAUUUUUUAUUAUGCAAGAUCCACCAGAAUAAUAGCAGGGUUUACCAGAGUCAGAGUUUAUAUAGCAUAUGCAAGCAAUAUAUAGUUUAUUGAAAGCAGAGCUUUUUUCAAGCAAAUUGUUUACAUACUGAUUAUCUUGAGGGAAAGAAUGGAAAUUAGUAACACUUGUUAUGAUAAUUCUCUCAGAAUCUUCUUCAUACUGAUUCAUAUGACAUACAUAGCAAAACUUUGAUGAUUUCACUGUCAAAUUCGUUCCAUAAGGUAUUAAGGUUUUUUGAAAAGGGCUUAAAAAUUGGUUAUGUUUUGACACUUCACUCGAGCUGUUUGGAAUUAUACAUAAGACUUGUCCAUUAUAACAAACAGCAUAACAACUAUUGAUAGUAUCAUUAGCACAUUUCAGAGGAAGUCCGAUAAACAAAAGAAUAUCAUAUGUUAAGGAAUUUGAAAUAAUUUCAUGUAAUAUUCCAAUACAUAUUUUUAUAGUAUCAUUCUCUCUUAUAUGAUUUCCGAUACCAAUACCACAUAUUUCUAAUUCUCCUCCUAUUCUAACAUGUGCUUGUUCUUUUUUUGCCCUUACAAUAGACUCUAUAAUGUUCAACUUAUUAUGUUCAAAAUUAUAGCUCCAUUGAUUUAAUUGACAUACAGAAAUCACCAUUUGUGCUAUAGGAAUUAUACCUGAGAAGAUUUAGACUAAACCUUAAUAA